AGAGUUUGAUCCUGGCUCAGGACGAACGCUGGCGGCGUGCCUAAUACAUGCAAGUCGAACGAACUCUGGUAUUGAUUGGUGCUUGCAUCAUGAUUUACAUUUGAGUGAGUGGCGAACUGGUGAGUAACACGUGGGAAACCUGCCCAGAAGCGGGGGAUAACACCUGGAAACAGAUGCUAAUACCGCAUAACAACUUGGACCGCAUGGUCCGAGUUUGAAAGAUGGCUUCGGCUAUCACUUUUGGAUGGUCCCGCGGCGUAUUAGCUAGAUGGUGGGGUAACGGCUCACCAUGGCAAUGAUACGUAGCCGACCUGAGAGGGUAAUCGGCCACAUUGGGACUGAGACACGGCCCAAACUCCUACGGGAGGCAGCAGUAGGGAAUCUUCCACAAUGGACGAAAGUCUGAUGGAGCAACGCCGCGUGAGUGAAGAAGGGUUUCGGCUCGUAAAACUCUGUUGUUAAAGAAGAACAUAUCUGAGAGUAACUGUUCAGGUAUUGACGGUAUUUAACCAGAAAGCCACGGCUAACUACGUGCCAGCAGCCGCGGUAAUACGUAGGUGGCAAGCGUUGUCCGGAUUUAUUGGGCGUAAAGCGAGCGCAGGCGGUUUUUUAAGUCUGAUGUGAAAGCCUUCGGCUCAACCGAAGAAGUGCAUCGGAAACUGGGAAACUUGAGUGCAGAAGAGGACAGUGGAACUCCAUGUGUAGCGGUGAAAUGCGUAGAUAUAUGGAAGAACACCAGUGGCGAAGGCGGCUGUCUGGUCUGUAACUGACGCUGAGGCUCGAAAGUAUGGGUAGCAAACAGGAUUAGAUACCCUGGUAGUCCAUACCGUAAACGAUGAAUGCUAAGUGUUGGAGGGUUUCCGCCCUUCAGUGCUGCAGCUAACGCAUUAAGCAUUCCGCCUGGGGAGUACGGCCGCAAGGCUGAAACUCAAAGGAAUUGACGGGGGCCCGCACAAGCGGUGGAGCAUGUGGUUUAAUUCGAAGCUACGCGAAGAACCUUACCAGGUCUUGACAUACUAUGCAAAUCUAAGAGAUUAGACGUUCCCUUCGGGGACAUGGAUACAGGUGGUGCAUGGUUGUCGUCAGCUCGUGUCGUGAGAUGUUGGGUUAAGUCCCGCAACGAGCGCAACCCUUAUUAUCAGUUGCCAGCAUUAAGUUGGGCACUCUGGUGAGACUGCCGGUGACAAACCGGAGGAAGGUGGGGAUGACGUCAAAUCAUCAUGCCCCUUAUGACCUGGGCUACACACGUGCUACAAUGGAUGGUACAACGAGUUGCGAACUCGCGAGAGUAAGCUAAUCUCUUAAAGCCAUUCUCAGUUCGGAUUGUAGGCUGCAACUCGCCUACAUGAAGUCGGAAUCGCUAGUAAUCGCGGAUCAGCAUGCCGCGGUGAAUACGUUCCCGGGCCUUGUACACACCGCCCGUCACACCAUGAGAGUUUGUAACACCCAAAGUCGGUGGGGUAACCUUUUAGGAACCAGCCGCCUAAGGUGGGACAGAUGAUUAGGGUGAAGUCGUAACAAGGUAGCCGUAGGAGAACCUGCGGCUGGAUCACCUCCUU
rnacentral:rRNA from 2 species